rnacentral:rRNA from 1 species
GCCUACGGGGGGCAGCAGUAGGGAAUCUUCCACAAUGGGCGAAAGCCUGAUGGAGCAACGCCGCGUGGGUGAAGAAGGUCUUCGGAUCGUAAAACCCUGUUGUUAGAGAAGAAAGUGCGUGAGAGUAACUGUUCACGUUUCGACGGUAUCUAACCAGAAAGCCACGGCUAACUACGUGCCAGCAGCCGCGGUAAUACGUAGGUGGCAAGCGUUAUCCGGAUUUAUUGAGCGUAAAGGGAACGCAGGCGGUCUUUUAAGUCUGAUGGGAAAGCCUUCGGCUUAACCGGAGUAGUGCAUUGGAAACG